rnacentral:rRNA from 1 species
GGAAGGAGAAGUCGUAACAAGGUUUUCCGUAGGCGAACCUGCGGAAGGAUCAUUG